AUACGGAGGGUGCAAGCGUUAAUCGGAAUUACUGGGCGUAAAGCGUACGUAGGCGGUUCGUUAAGUUAGAUGUGAAAGCCCCGGGCUUAACCUGGGAACUGCAUUUAAAACUGGCGAACUAGAGUUGAGUAGAGGGGAGUGGAAUUUCAGGUGUAGUGGUGAAAUGCGUAGAGAUCUGAAGGAACACCAGUGGCGAAGGCGACUCCCUGGACUCGAACUGACGCUGAGGUACGAAAGCGUGGGUAGCAAACGGGAUUAGAAACCCUAGUAGUCC
rnacentral:rRNA from 1 species